AAGCCAUAUGGCGACAUAGAGCGGAACCCGAAAACCUGUCUCAGUUCGGAUUGGAGUCUGCAACCCGACUCCAUGAAGCUGGAUUCGCUAGUAAUCGCGCAUCAGCCACGGCGCGGUGAAUACGUUCCCGGGCCUUGUACACACCGCCCGUCAAGCCAUGGAAGCCGGGGGUGCCUGAAGUGCGCUGCCGCAAGGAGCGCCCUAGGGUAAAACCGGUGACUGGGGCUAAGUCGUAACAAGGUAUC
rnacentral:rRNA from 1 species